rnacentral:rRNA from 1 species
CCUACGGAGGCAGCAGUGGGGAAUAUUGGACAAUGGGGGCAACCCUGAUCCAGCAAUGCCGCGUGAGUGAGGAAGGCCUUCGGGUUGUAAAGCUCUUUCGGCGGGGACGAUGAUGACGGUACCCGCAGAAGAAGCCCCGGCUAACUUCGUGCUAGCAGCCGCGGUAAUACGAAGGGGGCUAGCGUUGCUCGGAAUCACUGGGCGUAAAGCGCACGUAGGCGGCUUUUUAAGUCAGGGGUGAAAUCCUGGAGCUCAACUCCAGAACUGCCUUUGAUACUGAAGAUCUUGAGUUCGGGAGAGGUGAGUGGAACUGCGAGUGUAGAGGUGAAAUUCGUAGAUAUUCGCAAGAACACCAGUGGCGAAGGCGGCUCACUGGCCCGGUACUGACGCUGAGAUGCGAAAGCGUGGGGAGCAAACAGGAUUAGAUACCCUGGUAGUCCACGCCUUAAACGAUGGAUGCUAGCCGUUGUCGGGUUUACUCGUCAGUGGCGCAGCUAACGCAUUAAGCAUCCCGCCUGGGGAGUACGGUCGCAAGAUUAAAACUCAAAGGAAUUGACGG